GGCCGACUAGCUCAGCUGGUUAGAGCGUCGUGCUAAUACUGCAGCCACAGUAAAAUGUUUAGCUCCAAAAGGAUUAUGCCCUUUGCUGCGCUGGUGUUACGCGAAGGUCUUGGGUUCGAUCCCCACGUUGGCCA
rnacentral:tRNA from 1 species